GAUGAACGCUGGCGGCGUGCUUAACACAUGCAAGUCGAACGGAGAGCUAUUGACGGAGUUUUCGGACAACUGAAAUAGUUUCUUAGUGGCGGACGGGUGAGUAACGCGUGAGGAACCUGCCUUUGAGAGGGGAAUAACACAGAGAAAUUUGUGCUAAUACCGCAUAAAGCAGUUGGGUCGCAUGGCUCUGACUGCCAAAGAUUUUAUCGCUCUUAGAUGGCCUCGCGUCUGAUUAGCUAGUUGGUGAGGUAACGGCCCACCAAGGCGACGAUCAGUAGCCGGACUGAGAGGUUGACCGGCCACAUUGGGACUGAGACACGGCCCAGACUCCUACGGGAGGCAGCAGUGGGGAAUAUUGCACAAUGGGGGAACCCGUAGAUAGCAGCGACGCCGCGUGAAGGAAGAAGUA
rnacentral:rRNA from 1 species